rnacentral:rRNA from 1 species
CCGCGGUACCCUAACCGUGCGAAGGUAGCAUAAUCACUUGUUCUUUAAAUGAGGACUCGUAUCAACGGCACUACGAGGGCUAUACUGUCUCCUUUUUCUAAUCAAUGAAACUGAUCUCCCCGUGAAGAAGCGGGGAUCAAAAUAUAAGACGAGAAGACCCCAUGGAGCUUCAGACUUACUAUGCACCUCUGUGCCCCAUGUCAUUACAACACAAGAACCCUGCGUAUUAGUCUUAGGUUGGGGGGACCGCGGAGUACAACUAAACCUCCACAACAAACGGGCUAACACCCUUAUCCACGAGACACAGCUCUAAGAAUUAUCAACCUAAUGCUUAUGACCCGAUAUUCGAUCAAUGAACCAAGUUACCCUGGGGAUAACAGCGCAAUCUACUUCGAGAGCCCAUAUCGACAAGUAGGUUUACGACCUCGAUGUUGGAUCAGGGUAUCCUGGUGGUGCAGCCGCUACUAAUGGUUCGUUUGUUCAACGAUUAAAACCCUACGUGAU